UACGUAGGGGGCAAGCGUUGUCCGGAAUCAUUGGGCGUAAAGAGCGUGUAGGCGGCCCGAUAAGUCCGCUGUGAAAGUCGGGGGCUCAACCCUCGAAUGCCGGUGGAUACUGUCGGGCUAGAGUGCGGAAGAGGCGAGUGGAAUUCCUGGUGUAGCGGUGAAAUGCGCAGAUAUCAGGAGGAACACCGGUGGCGAAGGCGGGUCUCUGGGCCGAUACUGACGCUGAGGAGCGAAAGCGUGGGGAGCGAACAGG
rnacentral:rRNA from 1 species